GGCUCUUUGGUAAUAAAAUAGUAUAAAGAGUCUGACCUGCCCGGUGAUGGAUAUUUAACGGCCGCAGUACCCUGACUGUGCAAAGGUAGCAUAAUCAUUUGCUCUAUAAUUGAGGGCUAGUAUGAAUGGUUUGACGAAAAUAAUGCUGUCUCUAUGAAAUUUGUUAGAAUUUAUUUUUAAGAUGAAGAAAUCUUAAUAAAAUUAAAAGACAAGAAGACCCUAUCGAGCUUUAAAUAUUUAUGUAAAGUAAAAGAAGUUUAAAAUAUUCUUGAUUAUGUAGUAUUUUGGUUGGGGCGACUAAGGAACAAGGAAAGCUUCUUUAUAUAUAAGAGACUUAUGAGUUUAAAUCCAUUGGAUUAUAAUGAUUGAAAGAAUUAGUUACCGUAGGGAUAACAGCAUAAUCUUUUUUGAGAGUUCAUAUCGAAAAAAGGGUUUGUGACCUCGAUGUUGGACUAGAAUAUCCUGAGAGGUGCAGAAG
rnacentral:rRNA from 1 species